GAUGAACGCUGGCGGCGUGCUUAACACAUGCAAGUCGAACGAAGCACUUUAUUUGAUUUCCUUCGGGACUGAUUAUUUUGUGACUGAGUGGCGGACGGGUGAGUAACGCGUGGGUAACCUGCCUUGUACAGGGGGAUGACAGUUGGAAACGGCUGCUAAUACCGCAUAAGCGCACAGCAUCGCAUGAUGCAGUGUGAAAAACUCCGGUGGUAUAAGAUGGACCCGCGUUGGAUUAGCUAGUUGGUGAGGUAACGGCCCACCAAGGCGACGAUCCAUAGCCGACCUGAGAGGGUGACCGGCCACAUUGGGACUGAGACACGGCCCAAACUCCUACGGGAGGCAGCAGUGGGGAAUAUUGCACAAUGGGCGAAAGCCUGAUGCAGCGACGCCGCGUGAGCGAAGAAGUAUUUCGGUAUGUAAAGCUCUAUCAGCAGGGAAGAUAAUGACGGUACCUGACUAAGAAGCACCGGCUAAAUACGUG
rnacentral:rRNA from 1 species